rnacentral:sRNA from 1 species
UCUUAGCCCCGAUUGCAACGGCAUCCUUUUUUGCUGCAGACGGAACGAAGUGGAGACGGAUGCAAAAAAGAUAGAGUGAAAAGCGGGAAAAAGC